GCCGCUGCCCGGCAUCGAGGCGGAGAGUCCAUUCGUGCGCACGAUCCAGUACGCCAUCUCGCUAGGCGGAGACACGGACACCAUCGGCUCCAUGGCGGGUGCCAUCGCCGGGGCGUACCACGGCAUGGAAGCGGUGCCGGCGCCGCUGCUCCAGUACUGCGAGAAGGCGGACGAGGCACUCGCUCAGGCCGAUGCGCUGUUUGAGCUGCUGGAGCGCUAGCGGCUCGCCGAGGCGUCCCUCCGGCCUGUGACGUUGUCUGGUCGCGGCCGGAGCCCGCGUCGUGAGGCGCCCCUGAGGUCGCUGGGAGCUCCGCUGCGGCGCGGGGCGCGCGUGAGCAGGAGAUGACAUCAGGCGCUGACUGGCCACCAGGCUGAAGCCAGGCGCUGGAGUGUUCAGGCCACCCCGGGUGAUAAUUUGUGUACGCCGCGCGUGUAGGUGGGUGGUUCGAAGGCUCGAACUUAUGCACCUGUGCCAGUGGCAGGGUCACUUCGCGGAUGCUGCUCGUGUUGUGUUCUGAUCUGUUUGUGCGGGCAUUCGUAAGGUUCGGAAUUGUCCGAUGUUGCCGUUGGUUAUCUUACGAGCUUGCCAUUGUCCUGACGCGAUGCCAGUUUAAUAUUCCUUUUCGGCGGGUCGCUAAGCUUUUUGCGGUAAGCUCUUUGCAGUCGACUCACCAUGAUCAGACAUCCUUUUCCUGUACCGAUGGCCUUCAAGCACAUAUGGCUUCCCAAGUCAAAUAUCUUUUACAGCGGGAUGUUUCAAGGUGACAAUAAAUGAACGAUGCAUGGUGAACAAUGUCCCGCUGCCUCAAUGUCUCGCUGUCCUAUCUGCCUCCACGAUUCCAUGGCAAGAAUUUGCAUGAUUAAACAGUUAAUCAGGGUCAUUGCUUCUCUCCAUCAUUAGCAUGCAUGCCCCAGUGUCGCAAGGGUCGC